CCUACGGGAGGCAGCAGUGAGGAAUAUUGGUCAAUGGGCGCGAGCCUGAACCAGCCAAGUCGCGUGAGGGAGGACGGCCCUACGGGUUGUAAACCUCUUUUGCCGGGGAGCAACGGGCGUCACGUGUGGCGCCACUGCGAGUACCCGGAGAAACAGCAUCGGCUAACUCCGUGCCAGCAGCCGCGGUAAUACGGGGGAUGCGAGCGUUAUCCGGAUUUAUUGGGUUUAAAGGGUGCGUGGGCGGAUCGUGAAGUCAGUGGUAAAAUUGAGGGGCUCAACCCCUUCCCGCCAUUGAAACUGGCGCUCUUGAGUGGAAGAGAAGUAUGCGGAAUGCGUGGUGUAGCGGUGAAAUGCAUAGAUAUCACGCAGAACCCCGAUGGCGAAGGCAGCAUGCCGGCUUCCGACUGACGCUGAAGCACGAAAGCGUGGGGAUCGAACAGGAUUAGAUACCCCGGUAGUC
rnacentral:rRNA from 1 species